CAAGUCGAACGCGAAAGGGGCUUCGGUCCUGAGUAGAGUGGCGAACGGGUGAGUAACACGUGGGUGAUCUACCUUCGAGUGGGGGAUAACGUUCCGAAAGGAACGCUAAUACCGCAUGACGUUCCGGGUUUAAAGACCUGGAAACCAAAGCUGGGGACCGCAAGGCCUGGCGCUUGAAGAGGAGCCCGCGUCCGAUUAGCUAGUUGGCGGGGUAAUGGCCCACCAAGGCGACGAUCGGUAGCCGGCCUGAGAGGGCGGACGGCCACACUGGAACUGAGACACGGUCCAGACUCCUACGGGAGGCAGCAGUGGGGAAUUGUUCACAAUGGGCGCAAGCCUGAUGACGCAACGCCGCGUGGGGGAUGAAGGUCUUCGGAUCGUAAACCCCUGUCGAAUGGGACGAAAGACCCGGGAGCUAAUCAUUCCGGGAGUGACGGUACCGUUAAAGGAAGCCACGGCUAACUCUGUGCCAGCAGCCGCGGUAAUACAGAGGUGGCAAGCGUUGUUCGGAAUUACUGGGCGUAAAGGGCGCGUAGGCGGCCUUCUAAGUCAGACGUGAAAUCCCCCGGCUUAACCUGGGAACUGCGUCUGAUACUGGGAGGCUUGAGUAUGGGAGAGGGAUGUAGAAUUCCAGGUGUAGCGGUGAAAUGCGUAGAUAUCUGGAGGAAUACCGGUGGCGAAGGCGGCAUCCUGGACCAUAACUGACGCUGAGGCGCGAAAGCUAGGGGAGCAAACGGGAUUAGAUACCCCGGUAGUCCUAGCCCUAAACGAUGAAUACUUGGUGUGGCGGGUAUCGAUCCCUGCCGUGCCGAAGCUAACGCAUUAAGUAUUCCGCCUGGGG
rnacentral:rRNA from 1 species